AUUGAACGCUGGCGGCAGGCCUACCACAUGCAAGUCGAACGAUUGGCGGACGGGUGAGUAAUGUCUGGGAAACUGCCCGAUUGAGGGGGAUAACUACUGGAAACGGUAGCUAAUACCGCAUACCAUCGGAUGUGCCCAGAUGGGAUUAGCUAGUAGGUGGGGUACUGGCUCACCUAGGCGACGAUCCCUAGCUGGUCGGAGAGGAUGACCAGCCAAACUGGAACGGAGACACGGUCCAGACUACGACGGGAGGCAGCAGUGGGGAAGAUUGCACAAUGGGCGCAAGCCUGAUGCAGCCAUGCCGCGUGUAUGAAGAAGGCCUUCGGGUUGUAAAGUACUUUCAGCGGGGAGGCGUUACCCGCAGAAGAAGCACCGGCUAACUCCGUGCCAGCAGCCGCGGUAAUUC
rnacentral:rRNA from 1 species